GGUGUAAUCAAUGUGGAAAGACUAAGGAAGAAAAACACAAAGCCAAAUUCAUAACUGUCCUGAAGCCUUAAACUGCUCACAGGGGAAACCAUUACCCAAGAUUACAAGAACCCAGGGUGCUGAUUACAUCUCAUGGCACUCCAGAUAGAACCCUCAUUUUAGGGUCCUGUGGGAGCAAAUGGCACAGCCCAGACGACAGAGAUGGCUGACCAGGCACAAACCAAGGCAGCUGCACCAUUGUUUCACCCUGGUGCCUCGUUUUACAGGUCCACAGAUGGAGAGUUUUUCCCCAGGAUGAAUCAUACCCAGGAUCUCACUAAUACUGAAAUUAGAUGGUUAAGAUAAUAAGAUUUGGGACUUUUAAGCUGAUAAGAUUUAGGUAAUACAUGUGACUUUGAAUUGAUUCUAUAAUGAAUUGAGACUGUGGAGUAUAUUGGGAUGGGGUGUAUGUAUUGUGCAUAUAGAAUGGAUAUAAACCUUUGGGGCCAAAGGGAAGACUAGCAGGCUAAUGGUUCCCCAAGCAUGUCCACAUCCUAAUCCCUGAAACCUGUCAAUAUGUAGCCUUAUGUGGCAAAAGGCACACACUUUACAGAUGUGAUUAAAUGAAGGAUCUCAAGAUGGGGAGAUCAUCUUAGGUAACCCAAUGUAAUCACAAAGGUCCUUAUAAGAGAGAAGCAGGAUGGUUAAAGACAGAGAUGUAAAGUGGAAGAAGAGGAGCCACAGAGUGGGAGCAACCCCUGGAAGAUAGAAAAGGCAAGAAAACUGAUUAAUCCUGAGAGCCUCCAGAUGGAAUGCUGCUGUGCUAACACCUUGAUUUUAGCCCACUGAAACUGAUUUUAGACUUGUCUACUCUAGAACUGGAAGAGAAUAAAUUUGUGUUGCUCUAAGUCACUAAAUUUGUGGUAAUUCGUUACAACAGCAGUAGGAAACAAACUCAGGAACCAACAUGAGCAUGAAGCAUAUGUGGCCUGCUGUGCUGUAAUGAAGAUUUUUGUCUCUGACCCAAGACUCUUGUGUCUUCUGGCAGCAUCCAUGAGACUAUGGCAAGCUGAUUUGCAGAAGGGGCAAAAUCUUGGACCAUUCACAGUUCUUAACAUUUAGUUCAUAAAAAUGAUGAUAUAGUCAUGGGUAUUUGUCUGACGUUUAAGUAUCUUUCAAUCUUCUGAUCAAUAAAUCUACUUCUAAAUAAGAUACCACUUAAGUAGCUGUGAACUUUAAUAAU
rnacentral:lncRNA from 10 species